rnacentral:rRNA from 1 species
UACAGAGGGUGCAAGCGUUGUUCGGAAUUACUGGGCGUAAAGCGUGCGUAGGUGGUGAGUUAAGUCUGUCGUGAAAGCCCCGGGCUCAACCUGGGAAUGGCGAUGGAUACUGGCUCGCUAGAGUGCGGUAGAGGGUGGUGGAAUUCCCGGUGUAGCAGUGAAAUGCGUAGAGAUCGGGAGGAACAUCAGUUGCGAAGGCGGCCACCUGGACCAGCACUGACACUGAGGCACGAAAGCGUGGGGAGCAAACAGG